UGGGGAAUAUUGCACAAUGGGCGCAAGCCUGAUGCAGCAACGCCGCGUGAGUGAUGAAGGCCUUCGGGUUGUAAAACUCUGUCCUAUGGGAAGAAACAAAUGACGGUACCUAGGGGAAGCCG
rnacentral:rRNA from 1 species